rnacentral:rRNA from 1 species
UACAGAGGUCCCAAGCGUUUGUUCGGAUUCACUGGGCGUAAAGGGUGCGCAGGUGGGUUGGCAAGUUUGAUGUGAAAGCCCCGGGCUUAACCCGGGAAUGGCAUUGAAUACUGCUGAUCUGGAGGAUCGGAGGGGGGACUGGAAUUCUUGGUGUAGCAGUGAAAUGCGUAGAUAUCAAGAGGAACACCAGUGGCGAAGGCGAGUCCCUGGACGAUACCUGACACUGAGGCACGAAAGCUAGGGGAGCAAACAGG